rnacentral:tRNA from 1 species
CUGUGGCUUAGUUGGUUAAAGCGCCGGUCUAGCGAAUACGGAGUCGUGGGUUCGAAUCUCACCAG